rnacentral:lncRNA from 1 species
UCAAACGCCGUCAAGCCCUAGGGUUGAGAGAGAAAGAGAGCGCCACGUGAGAGAGAGAAAGAAGCGAAGCUGCCAAUGUCGCGCCUCGUCCAUACCCUCAUUCGGGGGAUCCACUGGUGGUCAAGAAGAUUCACGAGGGACGACUGAAGCCACGAGGGACGACUGAAGCCUAGCGGGUGAGAAUUCCUCCCCUGACUACAUAAAAUUUCCAUCAUUCGCACCACACCGAAGACAGGGCUCUGCAUUAGCCAAUAACCGGUAAUAACUCCUCUGAAUCAUUCGCCUUGGUUUCCUAUACGUGUAGCUUUCCUCGAUUUGAAAUUUUGUGUGCGGGGUUGAAGAUUGGCUGUCAUCGCAAUGUCCACCACCGUAGCAUCCGGCGGUGUCGCGCGCGGGGCACUCGGCCUGUGUGGGGGAAUGGUCGGGAAUAGAUCUAAGGUGUUUUAAAUCCUGGCCACCGAUCGUGGAUCGGAUGGCUAUCGUUGAGUACCAGUUCACAUAAGGAUCGAUCUAAUUGGGGCCGUUAACCCUAGAUCGGGCAGCUCACAUGUCAUGAUACCCCUUCGGUCGCAUUAGUUUUGUAAAAGAACCCCUUUAAUUUUUACUAUUCAACCCGCACUCGGCUUCAACUCAUAAGAAAUUAGAUCUGGGCCCUAUUUUUAAUACUUUAAACCCUGGAUUACCUCAUAAUAGUACCCGCGGUACAUAUAAGGUUUGGGAUUUAUAAAAUGAAGCAGAAAAUUGAUUUUCAAUAUAAAAAUAAAUCAAAAAACUUAGAAAAUGUAUAACUUAUCUGUAUUAACUCCAAUUUUAGUGGUUCUCGAGCCUACGAUCUCAUAGCGACAUGUAGAACUUUAUUAUAUAGUUUGUUCUCAUGUUUGGUGUGAUGUUAAUUUUGCCUAUACAAUGUUUGUUUGUAUUGUUCCGAGUAGACGAGCAAGCAACUAAGGAACCCAAAGCACAGUAGAUUGAAGAUUCUGAGCUAGAGCUCGCAGAAGACAAGUUGUGCCCUUGAUCACUCUUCUUUAUCUAAUAAUGUUCCCCAUAAUCAGUAUGACAUGCUCAGGUUAAUUUGAUGGGACCUAAUAGGUUACCCUAGUUUGGUCUACUCUAUACCUUGCUUACCACUGAACUAUUGGGUAGUAUUUGCUAUUGCUCUAUGUGGUUUUAGGUGUUAUGAUGCAUAUUAUUCAUGAUCAUGCCUAUUACUGUCAAUAGACUCUUUGUUGUUCAUGAUAAGAUUAUUUUGGUUAAUUGGAACAUUUAGCGACCACCUAAGAUAAUAGUGCUACCACAAGGGUGGAAUGAGACGCUCUUGGCUAAUUAAUUAGGAAAGCUAGUGUGAGUUAAUCCUUUCCCGAAAGGGGCAAGCGGGGUGGAGUGCAGGUGUAGGGAGGUCCUCGGGUCGGACUGUCUAUAAAUCUUUUCUGAUGAGAGAUUCCUAUAUCGCCUUCGGCCUAGAAUCCAUAGUGAGUUCUCUCCUCUAGUGGAACUUUGGAAAGGCCUCGUAGUGCUACCAUGCCUCAUCUCCUAUGUAGAGAUGAAUAGGAUUAGAGACCCCUUGGCAAAUGGGUAAACACGUCUUGUGGGUAAAUAUGUGUAACCUCUGCAGAGUGUAAAACUAGUAUAUCUGUCAUGCUCAUGGUCAUGAGCGGUACGGACCCUGACAUGAGUAACUUAUGGAAUUAAACUUAAUCUAAAAUUUGCAUUGCAUUGUAGGAUUUAUUAUUAAAUGUGAUCUCUUAUUUAAUUUGGUUGGUAUACACUUAUACUUAGUGAUUGCUCAUAAAUUUUUUAAGAACUUAUUAAAAGCAAUGCUCAGGUUUAACCAUUAUUUGUUGAUAAGCCUUACACUACACAUGAGCCCCCACCAUAAGUGAGCUCAUGCACAUUAUUCACCACACUUGCUGAGCAAUGAACGUCUGUGAGCUCACUCUUGCUAUAAACCCUCCAGGUGAAGAGUAGGUACCGCCGGAGGAGGAUUACUACGAUGAGUUUGAUGAGAUCUAGGUGUCAUCUCCCAGUUAACUGUUGGCGCCGAGGACAUAGUUAUCUUAGUUUGAUUUAUUUAUUUAUUUAUUUAUUUAUUUAUUAUUUGCUAUUUUGUAAGACAUUCUCGUUAUAUAAUAAAGUUUGUGACAUUCGUCUCUAUACACUGAGUCAUUGUAUGUGUGUAUUUCGAUUUGGCGCACAUAUGAGACGCACCCGGGGUUGCCACGAAAUCCGGUUGUGAUAAUUACCUUGACCUCACUCUUGCGUGUAGUCUCCUGUACUACUCCACCCAUCACUUAGGUCCCCUUUAGGAGGGCUCUGGCUCCUCUCCUUGGCUUCUCUGGAUGAGCCAGAGUUGUUUUACAAUUCGUUUGGCAAAACGGCUUCUCCUGUGUUUAUUUCGAAUGAUGUAUGAGAAAAGUGUAGGAGCCGGUAGAAGCCAGGUUUUAAAAUGGCUCUCUCGACGAGAAUCCAUUUUUGGACCAUUUGGCAGGGCUUCGCGAGGAGCUAAAGCUAGAGCCGCCAAAGAGCCAUGCCAAAGGGACCCUUACUUGUGUCUAGAUUACAGUUUUGUUGCCCACAUAUUAGAACAAACCGAGUAUAAAUUGAUUGUUUGAGGCUGUAAACAAAACAAUUGUCAACUAAAAAAAUAAAUAAUUUUUUUAUUUUCUACAACUUUUAUUUUGGUACUUUUUCAUCCGACAUCGUUUACAAAAUUUGCAUUUGAAAGUUUGUCAUAUUGAUAUGCAAUUUUGAUAGCCCAAAUGAUUUCAAAUGAAAACGUUGUCAACUACAAAGUUUCACAACUUAUAUAGACCUAGAACUUUCAUUUUGGUGGUUUUUCAUACAAGGUCAAUUGGAAAACUAAAAAAUUCGAUUUCAAAUGAUUUCUACAGGCGUUUUUCUUCAGAAACAUCAGUAGAAAUCAUAUUUGUACAGACGGUUCUAAGAAAAUCGCGUGGUACAAAUGGCUCAAUUUCUACUGGCAGUUUACUUAAGGAAUCGCCCGUACACAUAUGAUUUCUACUCACGGUUUCUUAACUAAAUCGCUAGUGAAAAAGUGUUUCUACUGUCGGUUCUUGAGUCAGGACGACCAAUUUAUUUUCAUUGGCCCUCAAUAACCAAAACCACAUGUAAAACUUAUACCUCCCUAUAGGCAUAGAUCUUUUUUACAAGUGUCAGUCGCAAAGAACGUCUUUACCGAGUGCUAGACAAAAAAUGGUUGGCAAAAAAUACUUGGCAAAUAGCUUCUUUGCCGAGUGUCUUUUUUUACACUAGGCAAAGGGUUUUUCUGCCGAGUGUCUUUUUAAACUAGACAAAAACAAUUUGAAAAUCACAUUUUGAAGUCGUAAAUUAAUUCAAAUGAAAAAUUUUCAACUUCAAUGUUAUAUAACUCAUCAAGAUGUACAAUUUUUGUUUUGGUCAUUUCUUUACAUGACAAAAUGGAGAAGGUUAAAUAAAAGGAUGAAGAUGAAAAAGAGAGUGGAUAAAAUUGCAGAAAACAUUAAAUAUGAAUGAAGCAUAAGUCAAACAUGUAACAUAUGGUUCAACCUUAGAAGAUAUUACUUUCUUUCCCUUCUUCCAUACUUAAUAAAAGAUUACAUAAAUACCUUUGGCUUCAUAAGAUUACAAGAACAAGGUAAAGAAGGUACAAUUUCGUAGGUGAAACAGGAUACUUUUCUCCAGUCAAAAGAUCUGAAAAAUGCAUGUCAAUGUCCUUCUAUUUAUAGGCGCGACGUACAGUUUCGACGAAAUUACAAUCAUGUCCUCAAGCGUACACAUUUAAUCUAGCACAUAUACUAAAGAUAGCGCUAUAUUUUCCUCAUGCCGUCUUGUUGAGCAAGUCUUGAUGACUUCUCGUAGUUUCAUCCCACUUAUACAUUGUUAAUCCGAAGCUUGUGUUUUUGCAUUUGCGUUCAUUGAUAGCGUUGACCGAAGAUGAGCUUCGGCACUAUACCUAUGACACUUAAAAUAAGCUAGAAAUAGCUUAUUAAAGUUAGUGUUUUGAGGACCUUCGAAAGAGGAAGGCUCCCAAUAGUAUGAUGAAAAUGAAAUGUAUACUUAGUUUGAAAAGGGCCUAGCUCAUGAAACUAAGAAGAAUUAAAUUUUGACUGAUGAGCUAAAUGUUUGCAAUGAUUAAAUUACUUGUCUUAAGCUUGAAAUUAUGGAUCUUGAUGCUAAGAUUAAGGAAUUGAACUCUUGUCAUGUUUCUACAUCUUUAGUUAAACAUGUUUCUAUUUGCAAUAGAUGCCAAGGUGUAGAUAUUAAUGCUCUUGUUGAUAAUAUUCCUAUGAUCAAAAGUUUGAAUAAUCAUGUCACAAAACUAGAGGAAAAGGUUGUCGAGCAUGAAUUGGAGUAUGAAAAGUAAAAUUUGCUCGCAACAUUCUUUUGAGUGGAAGACGCCCAAGCAUUAAGGAUGGUGUUGGCUUCCAAACCGGAGGCAAAGAGAACACCAAUUAUAAUGCCAAUGUAAAGGGAUUUGUAGAAUUUGUUAGGGGCAAAGCUCGAAUUGUUCUUGAUCAUGAUUCUUAUAAUUCCUAUCCUAAGAAUAGUCAUGCUAAGAAUGAUCAUGCUAAGAACACUCAUAUUCAUCAUACACAUGUCUCUAAUGCAAAAGCAUAUCAUUCUAGGCAUUUUGGUUCACAUGCUAAAGUUUCUCAAAUGCCUAAGAAGAAAAUUAAGAAUGCAUCAACCGGACCACAUAUGUCAUUCCAUACCUUUGAUGCAUCUUAUCUGCUUACUAACAAAUACGGCAAAGUAGUUGCCAAAUAUGUUGGUCCCCGGCACAAGAGCAGUAAAACUUGUGUUUGGGUUCUAAAGGUGCUUGUUACGAAUGUAAAAGGACCCAUGACCAUUUGGGCACCUAAGAACAAGGCCUAAUUUGUUUUUGUAGGUUUAUGCAUCCAGAGGCACAAGUUGGGUAAUCAAUAGCGGAUGCACAAAUCACAUGAUGGGUGAGAAGACAAUGUUCUCAUGCUACGAUAAGAACAAAGACUCCCAAGAUGCUAUUAUAUUUGGGGAUCAGAGUCAAAGUAAGGUAAAAUCACAAUCACCACCAAACAUUUCAUUUCAAAUGUAUUUUUGGUGGAUUCUCUAGACUACAAUUUGCGUUCUGUAUCACAAUUAUGUUUCAUUGGUUACAAUUGUGUAUUUACCAAUGUUGGUUUUACCAUCUAUAGGAGUGAUGAUUCCAUAGCUUUUAACGGUGUGUUAAAGAGAAAACUUUAUCUAGUAGGUUUUUCAAAUGAUAAAGCCAAACUUGACACAUGCUUCAUAGCUAAAACUAAUAUAUGUUGGCUAUGGCAUCAACGACUUGUCCAAGUUGGGAUGAAGAAUCUUCAUAAGCUUCUAAAGGGGAACACAUUUUAGGACUAUCCAAUGUGUAAUUUGUAACACUCCAAAAUCGUAUCUUGGUGGAUUAAUAAAAAUUCCCUAAAGAUUUAAAAUUUCAAGCAUAUUAUAACAAAGUUAUGAAUUGAGACUAUCUUCCCUACAAUUUAAUAAAUAGUAAAUAUAAAAUGUUGGCUAUAUACUUAAACUAUAAUAAAUAGGAUAGUGAGUUAUUCUAUAUAAAUUGCUCCUAUUUGAUUAUAUAACUAUGUGAAUUCCAUGCUUAUUAAAUUUCAUGCAUACAAAUACUUAUUUGAGCAAAGUAAAUAAGGAGUAAAUAAGUGUAAAAUAUUUGUAUUCAUAUUGGUGUUUUGGUUGUGCAUAUAAAUAUGGUUUCAAAAUUUAAAAUCAUAUUUGAAUUGGGAUAAUUAAAUCUAGAAAUAAAAAAACAGAAAAAAGAAUAGCAAAUAAAAAGCUUACCUAAUCGGCCACUUAAGGAACACAACCCACAUGAGUUUUUCCUCCUAUUUUUUAUUCCACUUGCCGGAUCUUGCAUCACUAUUACAUCAUCCAUGACAUCAGCUAUCCCUUGCUGUUCGUAACAAACUAACCAUCGUGGUUAUUGUAACCGCUCGGCCAAGCAUCUCACCUGCGUAACGGAUUUGGUUUCGAGUUUGUUAGUGUUCCUAACAGAUAGGAUAUGAUUGUAACAGAUAAUUACCAGAUUAUAUCUAUCAUGUAAUAGAUUUGGUUACGUGUUUAUUAGAGUUCCUAAUAUAUAGGAUAUGACUGUAACAGAUAAGUACCUGAUUAGAUCUAUCAUGUAACCACCCACCUCCCAGCCUAUAUAAAUACACGCCACCAUAGCACCUCAAGCCAUCAAUCAAAGACUCAUCUCAUCCAUAGCCUCGCAGCAGCAUCGCCGCCAUCCAAGCCACAGUAGCCUAUCGUCAGCCAAGCUUGCAGCCAUAAGCCGCUAUGACCAGCUCGGCAAAGUUCGAGUUCCUCCCCAAUUCUAGCAACAACUUCGGCGAGUAAUUUACCACCGUCAUGUCACCUAUUUUUGUGCGGCCUACUAAUUUUUAAAAACUGUAUCUUCUAGGUCAAAUAAUUUGUUUUAAUCUGUUUAAGUCAUGUUAGGUUCAUAUUAAUUUUGCGUACGUAGUAAUAACAUUGCUUUAAUUAUGCCACAUGUUUUAAAUAAUUAGUUAAUUAUUUGUUUAAUUAAUGUUAACUAGCUAGACAAUCUAGUUAAUCUAAUUUAUAGUUGUAACCUAUGCUUAUUAUAAAUAAUUAUUAAAUUGAUUAAUAUCAACUCAGAUAUUUUAACUUAAUACAUGCUUAGUUUAAAUGCAACAUCUAUUAGAUUUAUGGCGCCUAAAAAUAUUGUUUUACCCAUAGUUUUUUUGUUUUAACUCCGAUUUUAGUGGUUACCGAACCUACGAUCUCGUAACAACACGUAGAAUAUUCUUACGCUGUUUGUUCUCAUGUUUGGUGUACUGUUAUUUUUAUGUACUUCUUGUCUAUUUGUAUGUAUUGGUAUGAGUAGCAACGAGGUUACGAGUUACCCGAAGACUAAUUUGGUAAAGUACCUGGGAAUCUCGAGUCUAAGGCAAGUUGUGCCCUUAAUCACUCUUCUUUAUCUAAUAAUGUUCUCUGAUAAUCACUGUGACAUGCUCAGGUUAAUUUGAUGGGACCUAAUAGGUUUCCCUAGUUUUGUUUACCCCAUACCUUGCAAACCAAUGAACUAUUGGGUAGAUUCGCUAUUGCUCUACCUGGUUUUGGAAAAUUAAUAUUAUGAUCAUGAUCCAAUUAUGUUGUUGUUUUAAUUAUUGUUCUUGACAAGAUUAUCAUGUUAAUUGGAAUAUGGAUAACCACCUGGGAAAAUAGUGCUACCACAAGUGUGGAAUGGGACGCACUUGGCCAAGUAUAGGAAAGCUAGGAAGAGAUUACCUUACCCGAAAGGGGCAAGCGGGGAGGCGUCGCUACAGAGUAUAGGGAGGUUCUCGAGUCGAACAGCUGCGAUGGCAUUUCGGAAGAGGGAUUCCUAUGCUUCCUUCUUCCUGAAUCCGUAGUGUGUUUUCUCGAACUAGUGGAACUUUGAAAAGGCCUCGUAGUGGACCCCUAGCCAUUCACCUUGGAAGUCUCUAAGGGUCUAGCUAACCCUGGCUAAUCGAGAAACACGUCUUAUAUGUAAAGGUGUGCAACCUCUGCAGAGUGUAAAACUGGUAUAUCAGCCGUGCUCACGGUCAGGAGUAGCUCAGACCCUCACAUGAGUACUUUAUGGAACUAAAAUUAAUUUGUCAUAUGCAGUGCAUUGUGGGUGUUAUUAUUAAUUGUGAUCUCAUAUUUAAUUGGGUUGGUAUCUACUUAUAAUUAGUAACUGCUAAUAAAACUUUGACCAACUUUAAAAGCAAUGCUCAGCUUUAACCAUCUUCUUUGGUAAGCCUUACACUUCACAUGAGCCUUCACCAGUGAGCUCAUGCACAUUAUUCCCCAUAACUUGUUGAGCGAUGAACGUAUGUGAGCUCACCCUUCUUGUACUCACAUCCCCUAGGCCAAGGACAGGUACCACAAGAUGAAGAGCAUGAAUGAUGUCGCGAUGAGUUCGUGAGAGGUCUAGGCUGUCGUCUCCCAGUCAACUAUGGUUGCUGGAUCAUUGUCUUCAUAUGAUGUAAUUAUUUAGGUAUUUUGUACAGAAAUCCUAUUAUAUAGUAAAGAUGUGACAUUCAUUUCUGUACCUUGAGUCAUCAUAUGUGUGAGACUCGAUCCUAGCACACAUUUGAUUCGCGCCCGGGUUUAGCCCUUAAAUCCAGGUGUGACAGAAGUGGUAUCAGAGGAAUGUUGAGUGUAGGACGAACCUAUAUAGAACUGAACAACCCUUACCUACUUAACUUUGCUUCUCUGAUUCUUUCUAAACUUCCCUUAAUCUUUUCUCAUCUGUUGCUUCUUUACUCUGAUUACUCUUACCUUUUCUCUUCUAAAAACCAAGUGGAUUUCACACUUUGAUAUCCUGUACCUAAAGUGACCCUUAGGAAUAGGAGAUCUAAUCUUAGGAACACAAACAAAACUAUUUUUGUAGGUACCUAUAUGUUUGAAUGCUUGUUCUUAUGAUACCUGUUUGAUUUGGUUCUUUGAUUGAGUGUGAUGAGUUGUGCAGUAAUAUCCACAAUUGCAUCUUCAUAGACAAUCAGGCAUAAAAAAAUUCUAGCAAAACAUCUAUUCAACUUAGAUUAUCCAUUAAAAUAUAUUUAGCCUAAUAGAUCCAUCUCAUAUUAAAAGAUUCUAUCUUAUCCUUAUAGAUUCAUCAUGUCCUAAUAAGCAUAUUUAUCCCACUCUAGAGUAACAACCAUGAUUUAGUCCAAAAUAAAUUAAUUAGAUCUUAUAUAAGUCUAAUCUAGUCAUACCAAGUUAAUCUAGAACCCAUCUAAUCUGAUCAUAUUUAAUCAAAGGUGAGUUACUUAAACAUGUUAGUUGAUACUGGUAAAGUAGAUUAGACCCACUCGUAUAAACAUGUCUUAACCUAAAUUGGUGUCUUAGGCCAACUCAUCCAAUACACAAACAACCUAACCUAUAUAUUCUUGUUAGGUUGCCUAAACUAUCUAUUUCACAACAAAAUAUUUUAACCUACCCACCUAAUCUACAUGUUCCUAAAGAUCUAUACCUAGCCGACCUAACAAAGCAACUAGACCAGGUUUGGCCAUAGCACACUCGUCCUAUGCCAUCUACCUAUUAGCUAUAUGUUCUUAUCUACAAGCUAUCUUAACUAUAUGUCCCUAACUCGGACACGGACAUCAAGACCCGAGAAGAGAAGAUCAACCUCGUCAUGGAAGGAUAAAAGUCUAACCAUAUCUUCAGAUGCGUACCACCCAAGAUGGAGUCUUUCCUUGCCAUAAUCCUUGUGACCCCAACCUAUCCAUCUCUUAUCCCACAUAAUAAGUGGCUAGAUACAUAUACUCUCCUAGUCACCCAUUAAUGAUUAUUAUAGAAAGGGGGACUCCUGAUUUUUGAACUAAUUAGAAACUAAAAGCUAAAUUACAAACCAUUCUUUCUAUAUCCCCUUUCUUAGUUAUCUGGUGAACGAGAUUAUUUUUAAGGGUAGAAUUUGUAACAAUCCAAAAUCGUAUCUUGGUUAAUUAAUAAAAUUCCCUAAAGAUUUAAAAUUUCAAGCAUAUUAUAACAAAGUUAUGAAUUGAGACUAUCUUCCCUACAAUUUAAUAAAUAGUAAAUAUAAAUUGUUGGCUAUAUACUUAAACUAUAAUAAAUAGGAUAGUGAGUUAUUCUAUAUAAAUUACUCCGAUUGGGUUAUAUAACUAUGUGAAUUCCAUGCUUAUUAAAUUUUAUGCAUACAAAUACUUAUUUGAGCAAAGUAAAUAAGGAGUAAAUAAGUGUAAAAUAUUUGCAUUCAUGUUGGUGUUUUGGUUGUGCAUAUAAAUAUGGUUUCAAAAUUUAAAAUUAGAUUUGAAUUGGGAUAAUUAAAUCUGGAAAUAAAAAACAGAAAAAAGAAUAGCAAAUAAAAAGCUUACCUAAUCGGCCACUUAAGGAACAUAACCCACGUGAGUUUUUCCUCCUAUUUUUUAUUCCACUUGUCAGAUCUUGCAUCACUGUUAUAUCAUCCAUGACAUCAGCCAUCCCUUGCUAUUCGUAACAAACUAACCACCGUAGUUAUUGUAAUCGCUCGGCCAAACAUCUCACCUGCGUAACGGAUUUGGUUUCGAGUUUGUUAGAGUUCCUAAUAGAUAGGAUAUGAUUGUAACAGAUAAGUAUCAAAUUAGAUAUAUCAUGUAAUAGAUUUGGUUUCGAGUUUGUUAGAGUUCCUAAUAUAUAGGAUAUGGUUGUAACAGAUAAGUACCGAAUUAGAUCUAUCAUGUAACUACCUACCUUCCAGCCUAUAUAAAUGCAUGCCACCAUAACACCUCAGAGCAUCAAUCAAAGACUCAUCUCAUCCAUAGCCUUGCAGCAGCACCGCCACCAUCCAAGCCACAGUAGCCAGCCGCCAGCCAAGCUCGCAACCAUAAGUCGGUAUGACCAGCUAGUCGAAGUUCAAGUUCCUCCCCAACUCUAGCGACAACUUUGGCGAGUAAUUUCCCACCGUCAUGUCACCUAUUUUUGUGCGGCCCUACUAAUUUAUUAAAAAAUGUACCUCUAGGUCAAAUAAUUUAUUUUAAUCUAUUCAAGUUGUGUUAGGUUCAUAUUAAUUUUUGUGUACGUAGUAAUAACAUUGUUUUAAUUAUGCCACAUGUUUUAAAUAAUUAGUUAAUUAGUUAAUUAUUUGUUUAAUUAAUAUUAAUUAGCUAGGCAAUCUAGUUAAUCUAAUUUAUAGUUGUAACCUACGCUUAUUAUAAAUAAUUGUUAAAUUGAUUAAUAUCAACUCAGAUAUUUUAACUUAAUGCAUGCUUAGUUUAAAUCCAACAUCUAUUAGAUUUAUUGCGCCUAAAAAUAUUGUUUUACCCAUAACUUUUUUGUUUUAACUCCGAUUUUAAUGGCUCUCGAACCUACGAUCUCGUAACAACACGUAGAAUAUUCUUACAUUGUUUGUUCUCAUAUUUGGUGUACUGUUAUUUUUAUGUACUUUUUGUCUAUUUGUAUGUAUUGCUACGAGUAGCAGCAAGGUUAUGAGUCAACUGAAGACCAAUUUAGUGAAGUAACUGGGAAUCUGGAGUCUAAGGUUGUGCCCUUGAUCAUUCUUCUUUACCUAAUAAUGUUCUCUGGUAAUCAUUGACAUGCUCAGGUUAAUUUGAUAGGACCUAAUAGGUUUCCCUAGUUUUGCUUACCCCAUACCUUGCAAACCAAUGAACUAUCGGGUAGAUUUUCUAUUGGUGUACCUGGUUUUGGGAAAUUAAUGUUAUGAUCAUGUUACAAUUAUGUUGUUGUUUUAAUUAUUGUUCAUGACAAGAUCAUCAUGUUAAUUGGAACAUAGGGAACCACCCGGGAAAACAGUGCUACCACAAGGGUAGAAUGUGACGACCUUGGCCAAGUAAUUAGGAAAGCUAGGGAGAGAUUACUUUACCCUAAAGGGGCAAGCGGGGAGGCGUCACUGCAGAGUAUAGGGAGGUUCUUGAGUCGAACUGCUACGAUGGCAUUUCAGACGAGGGAUUCCUAUGCUUCCUUCUUCCUGAAUCCGUAGCGGGUUUUCUCGAACUAGUGGAACUUUGAAAAUGCCUCGUAGUGGAUCCCUAGCCAUUUACAUUGGAGGUCUCUAAGGGUCUAGCUAACCCUGACUAAUCGGGAAACACGUCUUGUGGGUAAAGAUGUGCAACCUCUGUAGAGUGUAAAACUGGUAUAUCAAUCGUGCUCACGGUCAUGAACAGCUCGGACCCUCACAUGAGUAAUUUAUGGAACUAAACUUAAUAUGUCAUAUGCAUUGCAUUGUGGGUGUUAUUAUUAAUUGUGAUCUCAUAUUUAAUUGGGUUGGUAUCUACUUAUACUUAGUAACUGCUAAUAAAACUUUUACCAACUUUAAAAGCAAUGCUCAGCUUUAACCAUCUUCUUUGUUAAGCCUUACACUUCACAUGAGCCCCCACCAGUGAUCUCAUACACAUUAUUCCCCUUAACUUGUUGAGCGAUGAACGUAUGUGAGCUCACCCUUGCUGUACUCACAUCCCCCUAGGUCAAGGACAGGUACCACAAGAUGAAGAGCAUGAAGGAUG